rnacentral:rRNA from 1 species
CUGCAGCCCGAGUGGUGAUCGAUUUUAUUGAGCCUAAAGCGUCCGUAGCCGGACUAGUAAACCCUUGGGUAAAUUGGGCAGCUUAACUGUCCGAAUUCCGAGGGGACUGCUAGUCUUGGGACCGGGAGAGGUCAGAGGUACUCCAGGGGUAGGGGCUAAAUCCUGUAAUCCUUUGGGGACCACCAGUGGCGAAGGCGUCUGACUAGAACGGAUCCGACGGUAAGGGACGAAACCCUGGGGCGCGAACCGGAUUAGAGACCCGAGUAGUC